UUACGGCUACAUCACGUUGAAACACCGGUUCCAGCACGAUCACCGGUUAAGCAACGUCAAGCCUGGUCAGUACCGAGAUGAGUGACAGCUUGGGAAUACCAGGUGUUGUAAG